UAGGGAAUCUUCCGCAAUGGGCGAAAGCCUGACGGAGCAACGCCGCGUGAGUGAAGAAGGAUUUCGGUUCGUAAAGCUCUGUUGUUAGGGAAGAAUGAUUGUGUAGUAACUAUACACAGUAGAGACGGUACCUAACCAGAAAGCCACGGCUAACUACGUGCCAGCAGCCGCGGUAAUACGUAGGUGGCAAGCGUUGUCCGGAAUUAUUGGGCGUAAAGCGCGCGCAGGUGGUUUAAUAAGUCUGAUGUGAAAGCCCACGGCUCAACCGUGGAGGGUCAUUGGAAACUGUUAAACUUGAGUGCAGGAGAGAAAAGUGGAAUUCCUAGUGUAGCGGUGAAAUGCGUAGAGAUUAGGAGGAACACCAGUGGCGAAGGCGGCUUUUUGGCCUGUAACUGACGCUGAGGCUCGAAAGCGUGGGGAGCGAACAGGAUUAGAUACCCUGGUAGUCCACGCCGUAAACGACGAGUGCUAGGUGCUAGGUCCUUUCCGGGACUUAGUGCCGCAGCUAACGCAUUAAGCACUCCGCCUGGGGAGUACGACCGCAAGGUUG
rnacentral:rRNA from 1 species